rnacentral:rRNA from 1 species
CCUACGGGAGGCAGCAGUGAGGAAUAUUGGUCAAUGGACGGAAGUCUGAACCAGCCAUGCCGCGUGCAGGAUGACGGCUCUAUGAGUUGUAAACUGCUUUUGUACGAGAAUAAUAGUUUUUACGUGUAAGGUUUUGAAUGUAUCGUACGAAUAAGGAUCGGCUAACUCCGAGCCAGCAGCCGCGGUAAUACGGAGGAUUCGAGCGUUAGCCGGAUUUAUUGGGUUUAAAGGGUGCGUAGGCUGUCGGGUAAGUUAGAGGUUAAAUGGCGGGGCUUAAACCCGAGCCUGCCUCGGAUACUGUUCGACUAGAGAGCGGAUGCAGAAGGCGGAAUGAGUAGUGUAGCGGUGAAAUGCUUAGAUAUAACUCAGAACACCGAUUGCGCAGGCAGCUUGCUAAUCCGCAUCUGACGCUGAUGCACGAAAGCGUGGGGAGCGAACAGGAUUAGAUACCCUAGUAGUC